GACGAACGCUGGCGGCGUGCUUAACACAUGCAAGUCGAACGGAAAGGCCCUGCUUUUGUGGGGUGCUCGAGUGGCGAACGGGUGAGUAACACGUGAGUAACCUGCCCUUGACUUUGGGAUAACUUCAGGAAACUGGGGCUAAUACCGGAUAUGAGCUCCUGCUGCAUGGUGGGGGUUGGAAAGUUUCGGCGGUUGGGGAUGGACUCGCGGCUUAUCAGCUUGUUGGUGGGGUAGUGGCUUACCAAGGCUUUGACGGGUAGCCGGCCUGAGAGGGUUACCGGCCACAUUGGGACUGAGAGACGGCCCAGACUCCUACGGGAGGCAGCAGUGGGGAAUAUUGCAGAAUGGGCGGAAGCCUGAUGCAGCAACGCCGCGUGCGGAAUGACGGCCUUCGGGUUGUAAACCGCUUUCGCAUGUGACGAAGCGUGAGUGACGGUAAUGGGUAAAGAAGCACCGGCUAACUACGUG
rnacentral:rRNA from 1 species